AUUGAACGCUGGCGGCAGGCUUAACACAUGCAAGUCGAACGAGUGGCGGACGGGUGAGUAAUGUCUGGGAAACUGGCUGAUGGAGGGGGAUAACUACUGGAAACUGUCGCUAAUACCGCAUACCAUCGGAUGUGCCCAGAUGGGAUUAGCUAGUAGGUGGGGUAAUGGCCUACCUAGGCGACGAUCCCUAGCUGGUCUGAGAGGAUGACCAGCCACACUGGGACUGAGACACGGUCCAGACUCCUACGGGAGGCAGCAGUGGGGAAUAUUGCGCAAUGGGGGCAAGCCUGACGCAGCCAUGCCGCGUGUAUGAAGAAGGCCUUCGGGUUGUAAAGUACUUUCGGCGGGGAGGCGUUACUCGCAGAAGAAGCACCGGCUAACUCCGUGCCAGCAGCCGCGGUAAUAC
rnacentral:rRNA from 1 species